rnacentral:rRNA from 1 species
UACGGGGGGAGCAAGCGUUGUUCGGAUUUACUGGGCGUAAAGGGCGCGUAGGCGGCCUGUGCAAGUCAGUUGUGAAAUCUCCGAGCUUAACUCGGAACGGUCAACUGAUACUGCUCGGCUAGAGUGCGGGAAGGGGCAACUGGAAUUCUUGGUGUAGCGGUGAAAUGCGUAGAUAUCAAGAGGAACACCUGCGGCGAAGGCGGGUUGCUGGGCCGACACGUGACGCUGGAUGCGCGAAAGCUAGGGGAGCGAACGGG